AGGACUCUAAUUACCCAAGGAACGGAAGGUUCGCGACUCUCGGAGUACGUGAGAGAAAGGAUCAGAUUCCAGUGUGGAUGCAGGUACUGUGCAUUGGUGACUGGACAAAAGCGGACGGAGCUGAGUGUGCGGAAUAAGUCCAGUAAACCAUUGUUUGGACUUUGUUCUACAUUCUUUUUCUUGAACUUUGUGUUCCAAAACUUGUUGAGAUAGUUAGCUUGUGUCAAUUUUAGUUCUCAUUCCUUAAAGUUCGUAUCCUUUGUGUGAACAUUCAUUCAAGUUCUGGACGAAUGAAAUGAUUUUUAGCAA